rnacentral:rRNA from 1 species
UACAGAGGGGGCAAGCGUUGUUCGGAAUUACUGGGCGUAAAGGGCGCGUAGGCGGCCUUCUAAGUCGAACGUGAAAUCCCCGGGCUCAACCCGGGAACUGCGUCCGAUACUGGCAGGCUUGAAUCCGGGAGAGGGAUGUGGAAUUCCAGGUGUAGCGGUGAAAUGCGUAGAUAUCUGGAGGAACACCGGUGGCGAAGGCGGCAUCCUGGACCGGUAUUGACGCUGAUGCGCGAAAGCCAGGGGAGCAAACGGG